AGCAGCCCCGGGCGGGCGCUGCCGGCAGAAAAGCGCCCUCUGGCGGCCGCCAGCCGUCCUCCCGCGCUCCGCCGCACCCUCGCCACUCCUAGCACAGAGCCGCAGGUGGGUUCCGUUCCCGGCGGCGGGGGCGGUGCCCGGGCGGCGGGCGCAGGCGUGGGGCGGUGCCGCGCACGGAAACUUGCCCUAAAGAGACCUGGCACCUGGAAGCUAUGGCUCUGUCUCUGUCUUUCCUGGCUGCUGCAGUCCAUUUGCGGAGUCCAUCGAAACAUCAGCACCAGACAGCUUCUCCAGCUGCAGAGUGUCCUGUGCAUCAGGAGAAAAUGAGAGUCUUGUUUCUUCUGAAAUGAUGUCCCCACGAUGUCAACAGUGGUACUGUUCAAGGUGGGAACUCUGAUGUCUCCUAUUCAGCAGCCAUCCCCAGAUCAACCCUUUCUACUGUCAACUGUUUGAGAAGAAUCUUCCAUUCCCAGAGUGCAUUCUGACAAGAAAUGGGUCUUCCCCUCAGAGCAAAUGUUCUGGAAUGCUAUGCUAAGGAAGGGGUAAAUACACCGAAUUAUCAGCUAGGAUCUGUCAGCCUGAAAUUCAUCAAGUAAUCCAUUGAUAUUAUUUAAGAGUUUCUGAAUGUGAAGCAGUAAAUAAUUAAAUCUUCUAAAAAUGA